CAAAGUACAAAAAAACUGUUUCUUUGUCCAUCAAAUUCUGGACCUAACUGCAACAUCAAUAACAUCCUGAAAUUGUUUUGUGCCCACAUUUAAUGCAAUCGGACCAAAUGUCCGCCCCAGUGUGUGGCUAACCGUUUUGUGCUUUUAUUGUGGAGGUCUGUGUCACAUUUUAUGUUGGUUUACUGGAUUAUUCUUACGAAACAUUUCAGGAGUCAGUCAUUUGUUAAAGAAACAGUUACAGUCAAGUUAGAUAUAACAUGUGUCUAUAAAUGCGGAAAAAUUGUAGGAAGUAGAAAUGGAGUGAACUGGAGUGCAAGUGUGUCCGAGCUGUACUUAAGGACAGUGUUGGAGUUAAUGUAUUUUGUUAACUUCUGCCACUGCUGUUAAAACCAACUCCCUCUCUCUUGUGCUCUCCAAUUUAUAUGUCAAGACAGAUUAAGUCAGAGGCUAAACACUGAAGCUGAACAGAGCGCAUUAUCUUGAAACUGCAGGGGAACCAAGAAUCAACCCUGAGCAUCACACUGUCAACUGAAUGAGGAAUUUUGCAUUGGCCACAAAGCUGAGCCAGCACGCACUGAUUUCUGUACAAGCCUGGGAUUAUUUAGCUUUCGCUACAAAGAGUUUAUUCAAACAGUUUGUCCACUAGUGCCGCCCUAUUGUGCUGCCACAGCAAACUGUGCUCUACAGCCUAAAUGAAUGCUUUCACCGGUGUCUUGUUUACUCACAUGCACAUUUGAAGGUACACACACCGUCAGCCAGGCCAGGCACAUGAAAGAAUACACACACCCCUGCAAACACCUCGCAAUAUAAGCACUGAACAAAGAGCCAUCACUACGGCACAUGUGCUGCAUAACAAAUGUGUAAACGCAAAUACAUUCGCAUUUUGUCCAAACAAACGCAGCACACAGAUCACUCUCUGCUCAUUCAUAGCCAGGUUGUUUCUCUUGUCUAAUCUCACCCCUUAAAUCAUUGAGUGGCAGGGCAGAAAGACUCACCAGCCCAUCUGUAUUCCUGGGUGUGCGUGACCUGCACUCUAACGGAUGGGCUUUGACCACAGGCGAGCCAGAUGAGGAGCAGAGCAGAGCAGUAGUAUUACUAUCCCACACUGGCUCUGCCUUUUGCUAUUCUCCACCUCCGGGCUCAGCCUUCUUUCUCUCUGUGCCGGCAGGGUGGAGCCUGAUGAGUGUUGUGUGAGGUCGGCUGGGUUCCUGUUUGUGCAUUUAUGGCAGUCCAUCUGUGUUAAUGCGUUAGGGCAAGAAGCAGUUUGUGUGUGUAUGUGUGUGGAUAUAAAAAGGGCAUGAAGUUCUUCAUCUGAAAUGGCCAUCACUGAGAUUCGGAGGAGAGGCAAAGCAUGUGGGUUGAGUUGCAAGAAUGCUUUCUGAAGCCCAGUGUCUGUGCAACUGCAUCAGAUCCGAGAUCAUAAGAUAUAGAUAUAUCUAUAUCUUUCAUUCUUUCUUUACUCUCCCCUAGUGACACCACGAUGUAGCGGUUAACACAAUGAUGUUCCCAUUUCAAGAUUGGGAAGAAAUACAAACCCAGCCUCAGGGAGUCACAAGCUACUGUACUCCAGUGCUGGUCCCAAACCUGGAUAAAUGGCAGAGUUGCAUCAGGAAGGGCAUCCCUCAUCAAGUCUCUGCCAAUCAAACAUGCAGUUCCAUCUUCUGUGGCAAUCCCUUGGGAAAUAAACCAGUAGCUGAAUGUACCUUUUGUUGUUUGCUCUGUCCUGGCAUUUUAUUCUCAGGAAUUUUCAUCAGCCAAAAAGGUUUGCAG
ensembl:lncRNA